UACGUAGGGUGCGAGCGUUAAUCGGAAUUACUGGGCGUAAAGCGUGCGCAGGCGGUUCGCUGUGUCCGAUGUGAAAGCCCCGGGCUUAACCUGGGAAUGGCAUUGGAAACUGGCGGGCUUGAGUGUGGCAGAGGGGGGUGGAAUUCCGCGUGUAGCAGUGAAAUGCGUAGAUAUGCGGAGGAACACCGAUGGCGAAGGCAAUCCCCUGGACCUGUACUGACGCUCAUGCACGAAAGCGUGGGGAGCAAACAGG
rnacentral:rRNA from 1 species